CAGUGAGGAAUAUUGGUCAAUGGACGAGAGUCUGAACCAGCCAAGUAGCGUGAAGGAUGAAGGUUUAUGGAUUGUAAACUUCUUUUAUACGGGAAUAACGGAUCCACGUGUGGAUUUUUGCAUGUACCGUAUGAAUAAGGAUCGGCUAACUCCGUGCCAGCAGCCGCGGUAAUACGGAGGAUCCGAGCGUUAUCCGGAUUUAUUGGGUUUAAAGGGAGCGUAGAUGGGUUGUUAAGUCAGUUGUGAAAGUUUGCGGCUCAACCGUAAAAUUGCAAUUGACACUGGCAGUCUUGAGUACAGUUGAGGUAGGCGGAAUUCGUGGUGUAGCGGUGAAAUGCUUAGAUAUCACGAAGAACUCCGAUUGCGAAGGC
rnacentral:rRNA from 1 species